CCUACGGGUGGCAGCAGUGAGGAAUAUUGGUCAAUGGCCGUAAGGCUGAACCAGCCAAGCCGCGUGAAGGAAGAAGGAUCUAUGGUUUGUAAACUGCUUUUAUAGGGGAAUAAAGGUAUCCACGUGUGGAUAUUUGCAUGUACCCUAUGAAUAAGCAUCGGCUAACUCCGUGCCAGCAGCCGCGGUAAUACGGAGGAUGCGAGCGUUAUCCGGAUUUAUUGGGUUUAAAGGGUGCGUAGGUGGUUCUUUAAGUCAGCGGUGAAAGUUUGUGGCUCAACCAUGACAUUGCCGUUGAAACUGGAAGACUUGAGUGUAGUUGAGGUAGGCGGAAUGCGUGGUGUAGCGGUGAAAUGCAUAGAGAUCACGCAGAACACCGAUUGCGAAGGCAGCUUACUAAGCCAUAACUGACACUGAAGCACGAAAGCGUGGGGAGCAAACAGGAUUAGAUACCCGUGUAGUC
rnacentral:rRNA from 1 species